UGGCGCGACUGCAGCGCCACCUGCAGACGCCGCGGGACAGCACGGCUGCUCCGGACGUCACGCCAGGAGACGCCGAGGCGGCGCUGUCAGGAGGAGCUGCCCCCUGCAGCCGGCCGUACGGUGGUGGUGGCGACGGCGGUGGCCGGUGCGACACCUCUGACGCGGCCGAUGCCCCGGGCUGGAGUCGGAGGGACGGCGCCGGGGAGACGCCAGACCAGCGUCGUAGGAGCGCCCCUGACGCCGCUGACGACGACGACCGCCGGCCGACCGGACUGCUUCACCCGGCGCCGUCCAGCCCGUACCACCUCCCCGGCCCGGACACCGGCCUCGGGACGACUGGUGCCGGCCUGACGGCCUGGAGACCGUGUGGGGAGACCUCAGAGGCCUGGAGACCGGGCGGGGGGACCUCAGGUGCCUGGAGACCGGGCGGAGAAGCUCAGGAAACCUGGGAGACCUGACGGGGAGACCUCAGAUUCCUGGGAACCGGACGGGGAGGCUCGGGAGGCCUGGAGACCGGGUGGGGAGACCUCAGGUGCCUGGAGACCGGGCGGGGAAACUCAGGAGACCUGGGAACCGGACGUGCACGACGCCCCUGACGGUUGGCUGCCGGACGGGGAGGCGUCUGAUGAUUGGCUGCGAGCUCCCAUCACGGCCGACGAGCUGCUGGAGGAGGCGCGCAGGAACGGCCGGCGCGCGUGGGGCCUGAACGAAGACGUGGCCGACUGCUACGACGACUCGCCUCCGAUAGAGACCAGCCAGUGACGCCGCCGGCCCCAGGCACCGGCACUCGGUUGAGACCCGGUGCAUUCCCGAGUGCUGCCGCCACAGCGCCUUCUGCCGAACUACACAGGACAGAUGACCUUUGUUAUCUGCGUAUUGCUCAGUACUGACGUUCGAGCUUACUCGAGUUGAACGAAGUUGACUCGUUUUUCUUAA